CAUAUCGGGCCGGUGUUAGCUGUGUGAACUUCAAAAGCAAACCUUUGAAUAUGACCGGCCCUCGUUCCCUCUCUUGGAGUCUACAUUUGUCAAUCAAAUGUUUGGCAGCUUAAACAAGACUGAGCGAGGCCCACACUGAAGCCAGUCUUGUUCCGGCGUUGGCUGACAAUUCAAGGCUGCCGCUGUACUGAACAGCUUGCGAGGAUUAGUAUUUCAAUGUGAAGCAGUGUUGAAAAAUGAGCACGUAUGCACGACGCUAUAACAGACAUGACUUCCCAACUUGUUCCGUUUUCCAUGCCAGUGCAUGGUUACUGCAAACCUAUUUUUCUGAAUGUAUCUUAGUGUUGUGGAGUAUCAGUCCAAUAUGCAAUCUCCUUUUCGGAUUUGCUCCAGAGACACUUUGGACUCAUUUUGGAGACUAAAGUACGUUCACCAGCUACUUUCUAACUUUAUCUAUCUGGGCAAGUAGUGUACAGUGUUUUUAAUUUUAGUUUUAUGAAAACAACAUUGAUGACGAUUGGUGAGUGUGAACCAAAACCAUAAAGUUUCCAGCCUCAAAAUCAAAUCCGCUAAAGAAAUGGAAGAUGCUAAAAUGCGCCGGAGAGGUGAGAGGAUCUUCAGAGUUACUCUCAAAUACAAGUAAGCAAUAAUGCGAUCUAUAGUUAAUAUAAAAAUAUAGAUUAUUAGAGAUGUCACAGCCACAGGCACUGCACUACGGUGUCAGGGCUGAUCCAGGCUUAUUUGAAAGGAUCGGUGUAAUGAAAAUCCCAUCUUCCUUUGCUGUAGCCUACUGCGCCGACAAAUGUUGCGGCGCCCCGCCGUGACACAACCAUCCGGGCUCCACACGUUGCUCACAAGCCAGUGAAAGGUUUAGUGAAUAAAGAUAUAUGUGUACAUCUGUAUUGGCAAAAUACAAACCACUUUGUUGCGUCGGUUUUACAGAAUUUUUUUCUCCACCGCCAUGCUAAAAACGUUAGCUUAGCCAACGAGUUUCUGUUAGAUGGAUUAAACCAUGAGCCCCCGCAUGUUUUAUAUUUAUCAAUAUAUUGAAAUUUGGCGCCAUGGCAUUGAUAACGUAACGCAAGCGGA
ensembl:lncRNA